GCAGGAGAAAGAGCAUCACAGUUUUCAGGGGAGGGUCAAGUGCAGCAACAUCUGGGAAAUCGUCACCUACUUAGUCCUCCAUUUACCUAAAUCUGCAUGGUUAAAGCCAAAGAUGAGAAACCACUCAAACCCAAUAACUGAGCAGCUAACGCCUCUCAUUCAUAGGAGCUAUCUGUGCAUGGCAUUGCUCAACACUUUGAACUUAGCCGAUCUCUUCAUUUUGAAAAGAAAAGACGAAAAGAUGGAACCAAUAGAAGAAAUUACAAAAUUACAAACUGGCAAAGUUGUGGUAUAGGAAGCUUGUUUUGUCCUCAGCCUCCCUCUGGCUACACUAGACCAUGAUGGGAUCAGCCUGUUUCCAGACCAGGAACCC